rnacentral:rRNA from 1 species
UACAGAGGUCCCAAGCGUUGUUCGGAAUCACUGGGCUUAAAGCGUGUGUAGGCGGGUCGUUAAGUGUCUUGUGAAAUCCCACCGCUCAACGGUGGAACUGCUGGGCAUACUGGCGAUCUUGAGCAACCUAGGGGCAAGCGGAACAAAUGGUGGAGCGGUGAAAUGCGUAGAUAUCAUUUGGAACGCCAAUGGUGAAAACAGCUUGCUGGGGGUUUGCUGACGCUGAGACACGAAAGCCAGGGGAGCAAACGGG